CAAACCCCGGUCCCCAUACGAUCUCCAAAGUUAAGCAACGUUGAGCUUGAUCAAUACCUAGAUGGAUGACCGCUUGGGAAUACCAGGUGCUGUAAG